ACAUGCCUACAACAUAGUGUUAAUGCACUGGAUCCCAUUAGAACUCCACAGUUAAGCGCGCUCAGGGUAGA
rnacentral:rRNA from 1 species